rnacentral:rRNA from 1 species
UACGGAGGGGGCAAGCGUUGUUCGGAUUUACUGGGCGUAAAGGGUCCGUAGGUGGUUGUGUAAGUCUGGUGUGAAAUCUUCGCCGCUUAACGGGAAGAAGCCACUGGAAACUGCGCAACUUGAGUAUGGUAGAGGCAAGCGGAAUUCCUGGUGUAGCGGUGGAAUGUGUAGAUAUCAGGAGGAACAUCUGUGGCGAAGGCGGCUUGCUGGGCCAUCACUGACACUGAGGGACGAAAGCGUGGGGAGCAAACGGG